rnacentral:rRNA from 1 species
CCAGUUGGUGCAUGGCCGUUCUUAGUUGGUGGAGUGAUUUGUCUGGUUAAUUCCGGUAACGAACGAGACUCUGGCCUACUAAAUAGUGGAUGGUGGUUUUGGUGCAUGGGCCCCGUCCGACUUUGUCUUCUUAGAGGGAUGAGCAGCGAGUAUAGCUGCAGGAGAUUGAGCAAUAACAGGUCUGUGAUGCCCUU